AUGAGAGAGUUACCCUUUACUGGGAAGUUGCAAUUGUACACUACUACAAUAAAGACCCAAAUUUCUAACUCAAACAGCUCAGUAAAAAAUCAGAUAACAAACAAUGACUAUUUUUUAUUAGAUAUUUCAUUGAUAAUAAUCUUGCAAAGCUUAUUCAUAUAUCAUAUUAAAAACUUACAAUUUCACAUUGUAGUAGAUAUAAGGAGCGCAAAACAGUGUCAUUAUCCAGUGUCAUGUUACAAUGUAGAAGCAGAAGAGAACACCUAA